UUCUUAAAGGUUUUUAUUAGAGGGUGAACUUUUUAUCACUUACAGAGCAUUUGGGAAUUUUGAAAUUACCUAAUUGAUCUUAAGUUUACACUAAUUAAUCAUGUCAAAGCUUUGUAGUUACCGUUAACAGGAUUGAGCCUUCGAGCCAAAGCAUUAACACCCACUUAAGGUCAUUAAAAGUGGAUUAUAAAAGACUUCAAAUAAUAUGUAUACUGUAUCGUUUUGUCAAGGUUUGCUUUAAUUCCAAAGCACAGCCAUAACAAAGUGGAUAAUCAAUUCAAGGUGACAUUGGUGUCUCCUUAUUCAGCCUCGCCAGUUUUAAAGUAUUCAGUAUAGAUAGGCACUGAAUCCAUGCCAGGAGGGAAAUAAUUGAUUUAACUGAUCUAAAAGUGUGUUUGAGCUUUUUUCAGACAAGCUGUCAACACAUACAUGAAAGCAAGUUUCUAAAAAUGCUGUCAGAUCCAUAAUGUUUAUACAGCAAAGCAAACAACCUUUGUUAUUCCAAUUAAUGCAUCUGCUCAUGGAAGAAAUUCCAACCAAAAUGUUUUAUUUUUCUCAGCUACACUGAAAAUUACAAUGUUGACUCAUAUUGAAGCAAUUUAGAAAAGUACUCAGCCACAAAAUGAAAUGGAUUACAUUAAGUUUAAUAUUUGUUACUAGGGUACCUGCUAAAAAUUACACCUCAGAGUUAUAUAUUACAUUUCCUUGAAAGGGUUUCAAGUAUUGUCAUAGGAAUUGCAUCUACUUAGCUUUUUGAGGAAGGUUGGGGCCAGUAAUAUUAUUCUCUCAACCUUACAAGUCAGUAAUAAUAAAUGUCAAGAGAUAAAAUGUGUUAGGGAAAAUAAUGUACCAAGAUCAAACAGUCUGUUGAUACGUUGGACUAUCGCCUCUACUACUUCAUAGUAAACUUCUCUUUUUCCUUUUGUAGUUUCAUUCUAAAAUAAGGAGUGGAAUUGGGAGUUGAAUUUCCUAGCAGCUGAAAAGAACUUUCAAUAUAACUUAUUUCAACACUAGUUUUGCCAAUGAGAUAUGAAAUGAUCUGUUUAAGGACACACUGCUCAAGUGGCUAAGCUGGAGUAUAACUCAGGAUUUUUGUUUCUAAAUAUUGUGCUUUGUCUAUAAUACUACAGUACUGCUUAUGAUCAAGAAUAAUUAUUGAGCUAAAUCCAAGAGGGUUUGGGAUAUUCAACAGGUAAAAUGACCCAAUUUUUCAACAGAUGAAUGACAUUUAAAAAGGGGGGGCAGAUCAUUACAGAUUAAAAGAAAUAUAAGAUCCAUAUCAACAAAAAAGCUAACUGUAGACUUUUAAAAUCUUGAUUAGUAUAAAGCAAAUGUAAAAUUACAUUUUUAAGUCAAUGGAGGAAAAUUGAGUAGAGUGGGAAUUCCAAGAUAGUAAGGAAUUAUUGCUAAUUUUGUUACAUGUGCUAGUGGUAGUAUGGUGACGCUAAAAAGAGCCCUUAUCUGUUAGAGCUAUACACUAAUUAUCAGUGAAAUAUUUCAUCUGGUUAUUUGCUUUAAAACACCCCAGAAAACAAACAAAUGAAGAAGUACAAAUAUAGAUUCGUAAAUGUUAACAGUGCUGAUAAUCAAGGGUGGGGGUUAUUUCUACUCCUUUGAUGUAUGUUUGACAUUUUUCACAAUAAAAAUUAAAAUAGUUAUUAAACUCAUAAUGAAUAAAAGACAACAUCAACACAGUUCAUUAAUCACUAAAUGCCCAACUUUUCUUAUUUUAAUCUGGAGAGCAAUCACAGAAACACCCUAGCAUGAAUCUAGAAGGUCCUACACGUUCUCCCUUAUGCCAACUUUCAACCUCUCUAAUGACUACUGAGAUGGAAAAGUAUGCUUUGUAUUUAAUAUGUCAAUUUAAAAAAUAUGCUAUGUUUCCGGAUUUAGCGAUUUUUGUGUUGUCAGCUUUAAAAACAAUUUGUAGUUAUGUCCUCUCAUUUCAAAUAAAUAUUCGCUUUCAUACCCAGUCUUGUAUUUUUUUUUCCUUAAACAGGUCUCCUUCAUUAUAUAAACUUCAGGUGCCACACAACCUAAGUCCAUUUGAGUGCCUGUAAUUUGCCAGGCACUGUUCUGGGAGCUAAGGAUCUGUCAGUGAGCAAAACAGAAAACAAAACAAAAUCCUCUCUCUUAUGAAACUUACAUUCUAGUUGGGAAAGACAGACAAAACAAAAACAUAAUAAACAAGGAAAUGAAAUAGUACAUGCCAUGGAAAACAGCUGAGCAAGGUUAGGAGAAUAGAGAGUGCAGGGCAGGGAGUGUGGGUGAGCUGUAAGUACAAUGUUAAAUAAGGUAGUCAGAGUAGGGCAGUCUCCCAGAGAAGGUGACUCUGAGCAGUCUUGAAGGCUUGGUUAUUGAGAAUACCAGUGGAAUCUAGCAUAGCAUAUUAGUUUAGCGGCACUCCAUUAUUCUCUUAUUCAGGUCCUGCUUUAGAGUAUUUGAAGGACCCAGUACCAGUGGGGAAAACAAUAACAGCUGGAUCGGGAUUAAGGACUGAAUGGCUGCCUGGGGCACUGCUCAUAGAGAUUGGUAUUAAAGAAUACAGGGCACUGUAACAUCACUGAAAAAUAAUAGAACAGGGAAUAUGAUAUUUACCACAACAUCUCUGAUAGUGGGGGUGAGACCUGCAAGUACUGCCGGGUAGGAUGAGGCAAUAGGCAAUCGCACUUGAAAUGUAUGGGCAAUAGAAAACUGCUUGGUGCCACAACAGCGCUUCCGCACUCUUCUCGCCCCUUAGCAUUCCAUCCUGCAGCCCAGCAGAAAUAGGAAGACAGCUAAAAAUAUAAGCUUAAAGUAUACAUCCUGGGCCUGCUCUACAAAUAAUAACUAUGAGAAUGGGAGUAGAAUUGUAAAAAUA
rnacentral:lncRNA from 1 species